rnacentral:rRNA from 1 species
GACGAACGCUGGCGGCGUGCCUAAUACAUGCAAGUUGAGCGCUGAAGGUUGGUACUUGUACCAACUGGAUGAGCAGCGAACGGGUGAGUAACGCGUGGGGAAUCUGCCUUUGAGCGGGGGACAACACUUGGAAACGAAUGCUAAUACCGCAUAAAAACUUUAAACACAAGUUUUAAGUUUGAAAGAUGCAAUUGCAUCACUCAAAGAUGAUCCCGCGUUGUAUUAGCUAGUUGGUGAGGUAAAGGCUCACCAAGGCGAUGAUACAUAGCCGACCUGGGAGGGUGCUCGGCCACAUUGGGACUGAGACACGGCCCAAACUCCUACGGGAGGCAGCAGUAGGGAAUCUUCGGCAAUGGACUAAAGUCUGACCGAGCAACGCCGCGUGAGUGAAGAAGGUUUUCGGAUCGUAAAACUCUGUUGGUAGAGAAGAACGUUGGUGAGAGUGGAAAGCUCAUCAAGUGACGGUAACUACCCAGAAAGGGACGGCUAACUACGUGCCAGCCGCCGCAGUAA